CUCUUUCUUGAUUCGGUGGGUGGUGGUGCAUGGCCGUUCUUAGUUGGUGGAGCGAUUUGUCUGGUUAAUUCCGAUAACGAACGAGACUCUAGCCUGCUAAAUAGGUGGCGGGUUUUAUUAAAAAAUUUGGGUUCGGGGUUCGUCGGGACCAGGGUGUCUGUCUCAGGCGUUCUUUGUCCGCCGGUCGUUUUUUCUGCCGGCCGCCGGGUUGCGGGGCGAGGCGUUUCGGCGUCGCGUCUCGUUUCUUCGGUGGUCUGUGGGUGGGCGGUCGGUGGCUUGGUUCGUCGGGGGCCGGCGCUCCCCGGCGGUUCGCCCCGUUCUCGCGUCCGUCACAACUCUUCUUAGAGGGACAAGCGGCGUCCAGCCGCGUGACAGUGAGCAAUAACAGGUCUGUGAUGCCCUUAGAUGUCCUGGGCCGCACGCGCGCUACACUGAAGGAAUCAGCGUGUUUUUAUCCCCCUGUCCGAAAGGACCGGGUA
rnacentral:rRNA from 1 species